GGUAAUCAUCCUGGGUGGGGGCGGGUGCAGAAAAGGAGGAAUGAAGAGGCACCAAGGCAGGGAAGGAGGAAAGUUGGAGCCUUUUCUCUGCCAGUGCCUCAUGCCUUCCUACCUGAAUCUGAAAGAACUCUCCCAUCUCCAGCAGGAUCUUCUUGGCAUUGGCAUGCUCCUUCUCCCCGUCAAUGCCCGCCUACAGUGAAAAGGGGAUUAACAAGCCAUACACCAGAGGUUCCACGUGACCAUCUCCCUGUGGCCUGUUCCCAUGCCCACCGCUACUUUCCUGCCCACUUUACCUUCUGAUACCAGCAGAUCUGGCCCCGUCGGGUGAGGGAGGAAUCCAUGAUGUCGUCUGACACCACGAAGAAGGCUUGGAGCUACGAGAACGAAAAGUGGAGUAAGAGCCCCAGGGCUCCUUAUUACUGUUCCUUCUACCAGCAACAGAGCUGCUGCUUUUGAGAAUCACUGAGCUGGGAAGGAAGGUCAGGAUGAGGAAGCCGAGGACUUUUUUUUUUUUUUUUUUUUUGCCACACUAUGUGGCAUGUGGUAUCUUAGUUCGCCAACCAGGGACUGAACCCGUGCCCCUGCACUGGGAGCGCGGAGUCUUAACCACUGAACCACCAGGGAAGUCCACCAAGGACUUUUCAUCUGUGCUGUGGGACUUUGGAAAGUUACAUGACUUCUUUGGCUCAGGCUUCCAAACUAUAAAAAGGGACAAAAACUCCGUUGUUUUCAAAGUAAGAGACACAACAGAUCUCUGACAUCUCCAGACAAGCAGCCCUAGACAAUCCCUGGUAUCAGGGAGAUGAUGAAACAUCUUCAUAUACUGUACUCUCUCGCCAAAAACUUCAGUGAAUGCUUCAAGUAAGAUUUCUUCAGGCAAUUUGACUUUACAUGACUUCUGGAACAAAAAAGGCUGUUCCUGUGUCCUCCCCGGGCACUCUGCUUACCUACUCCAGUGACCAGGAACAAAACCCCACCUCAGGGAGCUCAUUUGGGAGCGCAGGUCUAAUAGGAUGGAACUGAAGUCUGACUUCUGGUAACUUUCACCCAUGGGUCUUAAACAUCAUCAAAGGGCUUACUCUUCUGAGUGCCAGCCUACUUGAAGGUACCCAAACGUGCUGGUUCCCCACAGGACUGUGAACUCCUUGGAGGCAGGGCAAUGUGUUUGUCCCCCUGGCAUUCCCAGAGCCCAGCACAGCAUGGUCCCAGAGUGGGUGUGUCAUAAAUGUUUGUCUAAGAAAUAAAUGAGAGAAUGAAGCA